GACUCUCGGCAACGGAUAUCUAGGCUCUUGCAUCGAUGAAGAACGUAGCGAAAUGCGAUACUUGGUGUGAAUUGCAGAAUCCCGUGAACCAUCGAGUUUUUGAACGCAAGUUGCGCCCGAUGCCAUUAGGUUGAGGGCACGUCUGCCUGGGUGUCA
rnacentral:rRNA from 1 species